UACGUAGGGUGCGAGCGUUGUCCGGAUUCACUGGGCGUAAAGGGUGCGUAGGUGGUUGGGUAAGUUUGAUGUGAAAGCUCCGAGCUUAACUCGGAAAUUGCAUUGAAUACUAUCUGGCUAGAGGGUUGGAGGGGGGACUGGAAUUCCAGGUGUAGCGGUGAAAUGCGUAGAUAUCUGGAGGAACACCGGUGGCGAAGGCGGCAUCCUGGACCGGCAUUGACGCUGAGGCGCGAAAGCCAGGGGAGCAAACGGG
rnacentral:rRNA from 1 species